AAUGGCUUGUCGGGCACAGCUCCAGCCGCCCAGGGAGCCCCCGAGCCAGCAGGGCAGGUGUUUGGGGCUCUUGGUCUGCCUAAACUCUAUUUAGGCUGUAGAGGAGGUGAUCUUGUUAGUGUGGUUGUUCACCUGAGGCAGAGGAUGGCCGGCCCUUGGCUGGAAAGGUCGGAGAAUCUGUCUCUUGGCUGUGUCAUGGGGUUAUGCUGUUCUCUCUUUCUGUAUUGUUCCACUUGGGACAGCUGCCACAGAAGUUCCUGACAGGCAAAAAUGUGCUUUUGUACAACCUUGUCAUGCUUUGCCCAACCCAAGAAAGAAUAAUGCAAAGAAGCUUUAGGUUUAAGUGCUGUUUGAAUUGAAACACGUUGGUACUGCCUCUGGUUUCUUUGCCAUGGCAUAGGAGAGCCUCCCUUGUGAGUCAUGGAAUCACAGAUUCCCAGACUGGUUUGAGCUGGAAGGGACUUUAAAGACCAUCCAGUUCCACCCCCUGCCGUGGAACGUCUUCCAUUAGACCAGACAAGGAAAGGAGUUCAGCUUGCAGCUUUUCUGAAACUCUUUCGCCUCCUGUGCUUGCCAUGUUGCUUCCCUUCACCCUCUUCCAGAGCCAGGGCUUCUCAGGAGGAUUGUCCUCUCCAUCCCUCCCUGACAAGCACAGGCUCUGGAGGUAAAUCCCAGUGACCUGUCCCAGGUGAGAUGGUGCCAGUGGCCUCCCCAGCUCCUUCUCCAGGGCAGGACGAGCGUUUCAUGUGGCAACAGAGCAAAUCUUACUCUUUGCUGAAGGACUUGGCCUCCAGCCAGGCUUUGACUUCUUCAGUGCUGGAUUCAAAGCAGCUCGUCGUUCAGCUCAUCCAUUUGGUGAAUAAGUUCUGCAGAAACAGGUAGGGAAUGAGAUCAAAUCUUCAGUCAAAAAUCCCAUUAAAUGUGUUGGUGGGGAAAUUGUAAGGAAAAUGGGGGUGUGGCUCAGCAUUUUUAUUAAGUCUGUAAAUACAGCCUAGGAAAGGGCUUACUUUUGUAUUUUAGUCUGAAAAACAAGCUUAGGUGCUCUGUUGGAGCAAUAGGGUGAGUGAUGAGGUUUGGACCUUCAGAAUACCAUCAGGAACAAGUGUGUACAGGGAGAUCUCUGUGGUUUUGGAGGCUGGAGGGCCCUAGAGGGGAGUGGGGGAUCUCCCCUUUCCCCCCAAGUCAAGAGUCUCCCUUCAGCUUUUGAAACCUCACUUUCUCUUUGGGAGAAAUUGUGAUUUCUGCAGUUCUGCAGGAUAAAGGAGAGGACAGAUCACAGAAUCCCAGCUGAGGGAUCUAAAAAGCUGCUUUAUGGUUUCUUUCAGUGUGACUGGGGAGAGAACUUCACUUUCACUUGUUUUGUGAACAAAUUUACAGUGGGACCAGUUGUUUCUCACAUUUCUAACUCAUGCUGUUCCUCCUGCUCCAUUCAAAGGACAGAAAACCCCUCAACACCCACCAGCUCCUGCUCCAGGUGUGCUCAGGGGUGUAAAGUGAUCUGGCAGAGUCUUUGCUCCCAGUGCUGCUCUCAAGGGGUGACAAGGGACAGGGUCCCAUUCCCUGAGGGCUGGGGUUGGGGUUCUGCUUCAGCUUGUCAUCUUCCUGGGUUUGAGUUAUUUAGUUCCCUUUGGGCUGGUGAAAUAAGGGAACUGCCCUGCAAACUUCACAGCAAGAGGGGAAACUCCCAGCCCCCGUGAGGCAGCAGAGGCUGGGGGAUGGACUCUGUGUUUCCCAGAACCGUGUUCCCCUUUUCCUGAGCCCCUGUGCUGCCAUUUAUUUCCCUCCCAUCACCCCUGGGCUGUUGCCUGGUGUGGAAGGACAGAUGUGUGAGGAUCUACAAUUGCAGAGUUGGGAUUGAGACCUUUUCUCCUCUCUGCUACUUCUAGUCAGUGAUUUGCUGAUCCCAGAGCCCCAGGUUUUGCUCCACAGCGGAAAAGAAGCAGCAGGAAGCACAAACUGGGAGUGAGGAACACACUCAUGAUGGGAUGAGCUUGAAGGUCCCUGUGACUCUGGGAAAACUCCAGUGACACUUCAUCCAGUGUCACUUUCCCCAUGAAACUCCUGAGGACUGCAGAGAAUAACUGGGUGUUAUGAACAGACUGGAGUCCAGCAGGGGAUGAGCAGGGCAGGACAGGGAGCUGUUGUUGUCCUUCCCUCACCGUGGUUGGGAUGGGACCGAUGUGUCUGAGCUGAGGAGGGGACACAGCCCAGCACAGGCAGCCUGUGCCAGCUUGGGUUGGAGCACAGCUGUGUCACUGUCACACACCACCAGGGGAAAUGGAAUUGGUGCUGGCUGCCCUCCUGAGCUCUGUGUCACUGUCACACACCACCAGGGACAAGGAGUUGGCUGCCAUGCUGAACUCUGUGCUGCCCCUGGAAGGGGAGGGGACACACCUUUUCCAGGAGUGCUCACGUACCUCCAGGAUUUCAUCCUUCAGCACCGACAGCUCGUUGACGUUUCGUGCAGUGAAAUCGUAGCGGAUUUUGGCAAAUCUCCUGGGCACAGCCACUCCCUGGGCCUCAAAAUUCGUGCAGGAGAGGAAAACUGGAGUUUUAGUGGAGGCCCACCUGAUGAUGGAACCAAAUGUGAGUUCACUGGUGGAACAGGAGUGAUGGUGGCUGGGAGUUUGCAUUUGAAGGGGCAGAGUCCCUCUGCUCCUCUUUUGAGGAAGAUUUUCAGCCCUUGUUUCAGUGGAAUCCCUUGGGGCUGGGAACAAGCAAGCAAACCAACGCUGCUGGGGUUUGGUGUGGGGCCUUCCUGGGGGCUGUGAGGCAGCUCCUGGAAGGGUGGAAGGAAUUGCUGCUUUAGGGCCGCAGGGGCUGACACAGCAGGACCCAAAGGCUCUGAUUGCAGGUCCAGGGAAAGAUGAGGUGUGAAACCCUCCCUGUCCUGCCCAGUGGAAACAGCAGGGAGCAGCUGGGGGAAGAGGAAUUGAAAAUCCAAGCGGCAGAACCCACUGGAAAUCUGUGGGGUUUUUAAUCAGGCUGAAUUCUGCAAGUUCCCAGGAAAAGUGAGUUUGGAUGUUUCUAUGCUAAGAUGUAUUUGGGCACAGGGGAAGAGAAAUGCAUUUAUGUGUUAGCUUGGGACACCAGAAUAUACGGUUUUCAAAGCUGAAUUGGCUUUUUGUUUGAAGAGAGACAAAAUGAAUAUGGUAGACCAUUGAAAAUGGUGAAAAAGUGGAAUGAAAGGUUCUUUUUUACCCAAACUGAAAAGUUUUGCUUUGUUUUGUUUUGUUUUGUGUUGCCUGGCUUAGGGAAUUUAGCAGAUCUCAUCUUUUUCUUCUCCAGCUGAGUGAAGUGCUAUCUGUUUAAUUAAAAAUCCAUUUGCUAUAUGGAAAAACAGUCUUGCCUUGUGAAAGGACAGGUAAGAAUAAUUUUAAUGCACUUCCCAGGGAUCUUUUUGCUUAUGAAAUGUAACCUGCACAGAUACCUGAUGCCAUAUUCACUGGGGCUCAGGGUCUCCUUCAGCUGUUGUAACUCAGGGCAAUCAGUGCUUCCAGCACUGCCAGCAGCUCUGCUUUUCCCUUUCUGACCUACUGGCUUUGGCCAGUGGUUUGAAAUCCAUGUACUGGGGAAGCUCAGUUCUUUGUGCACUGUGAAACCUGGCAAUGGAAAUUGAGCCCAUUGUGCUUAGUUUAAAUUAAUUUUCCUGCCCUCAUGAGCCGUGUUAGGUGGUCAGAAGGAGGCUGUAACCACUAAUUUAGUGCUGGAUACCACAACAGUGGUUGCAGGGUUGUCUUUAGCUCACGUGCUUUGGGACAGCUCCUGGUCUGGUUAUACCCCUGUGGAACAUUUCAGUUGUAAUUCCACAGUGGGGAGAGCUUGGAGGAGUCAAAUGAAUCCAGCAGGCCAGGGAGGGAGAGCUGCCUUUGCCCAGCAGUGCCCUGAGGGCCAGGAGGAGAAGGGAAUCGCAGUUAGGUUGGAAUUCCUUCUUCUGUGGCAUUUCAGAAGGUAACUGAGUCAGGAGGGAGGAGUUUGGGGCUGGUGUGUGCUUUGUGUGCACCUGGGCUGUGCAAGGGGACCUGUGCUGAAGGUUGUGCUGCUGCUGGGGCUCCCAGGGCCCUUCUCUGCAGCCAGGAGCCGAGCUGUAAAUAACUGCAGUACUGAGGGGCGGCUCUUUGUGCUCAUCUGGGGUCUCCUGGCUGGAAAUUUGGUCAGACUGCUCUGAAAAGAGCAAGAGCACAGCAGGAAAAAUGUCUGUACCAGGGCUGUCAUCCUGGCAGAUUAACAAUUCACUUGCAGUUUUGUUUUUUUUUCUGAUGUGUUAUCCAUAAGGAAAAAUUGCUGUUGAGGGUGUGAAAGGUCCUCUCCUCUCCCCUCCCCUCCCCUCCCACCUUGGUAGAAGGCACCUGAUCAUUUCUGUUCCCAGAUUCCAUCCUGCUGUUCAUGGUUUGCCUGUGCUGAGACAGGUGGAAAUGUUUCCCCACAUGUGUUGUCUGUCAGUCGUUAAAAAGACUCCAAUAUUCUUGUGUAAACUAAAUUCCUUAUUUUUCCCAACCUCACCAAGAGAUCUGGAAUUGGAAAAGAGAAAUGAUCCUCAUUCUUUCCCUGCUCCACACUGCACCUGGACCACUUGAUGUUCCUACCAGGGCUUGGGGCAGCAGAAUCUUGGUGGCCACAGUUGGGAACUCAGUGAAUUGGAGCAAAGCUGAAGAGUUUGUCCACUAAGAGAAGCGGUGAAUUAUAAACCAACGCAGAGUGAUAUUCCACACCAGGGAUUUGGGAUUGGUGAUGGUCCCAAUCCAUCAUCUUUCUGUUCAUUUUCUUUUGGAUUCUGCAGCCUGCUGGGCUGGGGGAGCUGUUCCUUUGCAUUUAAUUUUCUGUAUUCUGUAAAUCCUCUGUGGAAAUGUGCUUUUAAUAAAAAGGCUCUUGAUGAUGUCCCAGGUUCCUGGGAUUCACAGGUGUGUGUUCAGACCAAGGAAUGUUCUGGCUGGCAGAAGCUGCACCAAUCUCCCAGGAAUCUCAGUCUGGGUUUGUCUUUGCUCCCAGUGCUCCUCAGUUUGGGGUGCAGUGCAGCCCUGCUCUGUGGAUCUCCUAGAAGAGUUUUUUCCUAUUCUGCAAUGUUUCUCUAGAAUUCAAUAAAAAAGAAUAAAACUGUA